CACGCCGUAAACUAUGAGCACUAAGUGUCGGAGUAAAAUUCGGUGCUGCAGUUAACACAUUAAGUGCUCCGCCUGGGGAGUACGGUCGCAAGACUGAAACUCAAAGGAAUUGACGGGGACUCGCACAAGCGGUGGAGCAUGCGGUUUAAUUCGAUGCAACGCGAAGAACCUUACCAGGUCUUGACAUACUGUUGACAGGGUUAGAGAUAACCCCUUUCUUCGGAACAACAGAUACAGGUGG
rnacentral:rRNA from 1 species